rnacentral:rRNA from 1 species
UGUGGAGUGGGGACUUGUCCUUAAUCCUGCUGGUAGAGUGUAACUAGAUUGGAAUGCCAGGCCGCUGAGGGUGAAAGCACCUUGCCGUUCACGCUACAGACAAGGGAAAGUUCAAAGAGUCGAGGAGUUCGAGACUGCUGCCCUAAGUGGGAGAUUGACUUCUUCCAAGGCUAAAUAAGACGAGAGACUGAAAGCGAACAAGUACUGUGAAGGAAGAUGCAAAGCACUUUGAAAGAGAGUUAAAGGACUUGAAAUAGCUGAGGAGGAAGAGUGGGACGUUGGCUUGACUGAGGGAAACUAGGCUAAGGCCCUUUGGGAGCUCAGUUAUUGCAACACCUGCGAUGUCGGAGCUGCGACGAACUAGUUUGGUCCUCUACAGGCCGAGAUCAACAAAAGUGUUGUGCGGCGUCUCACUGGCCCGUCUUGAAACACGCACCAAGGAGUCUAGCAUGUGUGCGAG